UUUUUUUUUUCCUAACAUUAUCAACAAUUUUUUCUGAUGAAUUAACACCCCCCCCCCCCAAUUCUCUCCCUUCUGCUCCAGUAAAGAGAUUGUGAGAGAGGAUUGCUUUAUUCCAAGAAUCUCACAAGGGAAUGGACAAACAUGCCAGAUUUCUCUCUCUCUCGUUGCAGCGCUGGCUACCUUUAUCCAAUUGACACAUGGAUCUCUCUCCAUUUAGAACACACGAUGCUAUCAUAACCAUAUUCUUUGUUUCUGUGCUCGUCCAUGUUGCAUAGAGUGCAUGUGAAGUUAAACUUGAAGCUGCUCACUUCAAAUCAAUUGCUGCCCGCACAUGUCUAGAAUUAUUGCCUUUGUUAUUCUAAUCAUAAUCCUUGACCCAAUCAUUGGGUGGUCACUUUUUUCUUAUGAGUCUUGUUGUUUAUAUGGGUUUAUGUGAGGAAUUGUCACAAUUGUGUGAAUUGUUGAUAAUGCAGUUCUGCUAGCAUAUAGGGGCUUAUCCAAUGUAGUUCUGCAAGCAUAUGGUCUUUGCAAUGCAGAUAUCCAAGCAUAUGCAGAUCAUGCCAUGACAGAAGAGUUAAAUGUUGAGUCAACUAGGUCACUUGUGUAAUCUGACCUGAGCCAUUGAAGACAAUCAUUUGUUGGUGUCUCAUUGGACUUGUUACCUGACAGUGUUUAUCCAACAAAUGAUUCUCUUCAAUGGCUCGGUCAGGUUACACAAGCGAUCUAGUUGGUUCAGUAUUUAUCGCUUCUGCCAUGCUAUGACCUAUAUAUACUUGAAUAAUUGCAUUGUAAAGACCAUAUACUUGGAGAACUAUAUACUUGGAGAACUACAUUGCAAAGGCCCCUAUAUGCUAGAACUGCGUAAAGACCCCAUAAGCUUGGAGAAUUACCUUGGACAAUGAUUCACACAAUUGUGACCAUUCCUCAUGUAAAGUAUAUGCUACCUAUUGUGCGGGCAGCAAUUAGACUAUGUAAAACCUUUUUUGUGGUUGUAAGUUUUUUUUUAUCGAAAUCUCAUAUCUAUGUAUGGAUUGUGGUAAUAAAAAUACCAAAAGACACGGGCCGCUACUAAAAUAUUAUGUAUAGAUAUAGUUGCUUGGUGCAAA